GUAGGUGGCAAGCGUUGUCCGGAAUUAUUGGGCGUAAAGCGCGCGCAGGCGGUCCUUUAAGUCUGAUGUGAAAGCCCACGGCUCAACCGUGGAGGGUCAUUGGAAACUGGGGACUUGAGUACAGAAGAGGAAAGCGGAAUUCCAAGUGUAGCGGUGAAAUGCGUAGAGAUUUGGAGGAACACCAGUGGCGAAGGCGGCUUUCUGGUCUGUAACUGACGCUGAGGCGCGAAAGCGUGGGGAGCAAACAGGGAUUAGAUACCCUGGUAGUCCACGCCGUAAACGAUGAGUGCUAAGUGUUAGGGGGUUUCCCGCCCCUUAGUGCUGCAGCUAACGCAUUAAGCACUCCGCCUGGGGGAUACGGCCGCAAGGCUG
rnacentral:rRNA from 1 species